AUCAACGGCAUCACGAGGGUCCCACUGUCUCCCCCCUCCAAUCAGUGAAACUGAUCUCCCCGUGAAGAAGCGGGGAUAAGUAUAUUAGACGAGAAGACCCCAUGGAGCUUUAAACCCGACAGCACCCACUUAUUUAACACCUUCUUAUCCGCCUGGCCCCUGUCUGCUCGGUUUUGGGUUGGGGUGACCGCGGAGCAUAAAAUAGCCUCCACGAAAGAAGGGAUGAUUCCCUCAUUUUAGAACUACACUUCCAAAGACUAACAAAUUAAUUUUAAGUGAUCCGAUACCCGUAUUCGAUCAACGAACCAAGUUACCCUGGGGAUAACAGCGCAAUCUACCUCAAGAGCCCCUAUCGACAGGUGGGUUUACGACCUCGAUGUUGGAUCA
rnacentral:rRNA from 1 species